CACAUGGAGGAAAUGCCAUGGCGAUGGUUUUCAUCGGGCCCUAUUGAUGAUUAUUUCCCUGAUUAUCAAUCCGGUCGCGGAUCGGUUAUACUCCUCAAU
rnacentral:ncRNA from 1 species